CUACGGGUUGCUGCAGUCGAGAAUAGUCUACAAUGGACGAAAGUCUGAUAGUACGACGCCGCGUGGAUGAAGAAGCAUUUCGGUGUGUAAAGUCCUUUUCUGUGUGAGCAAUGUUUUCCAGGUUAAUAGCUUGGAGAAAGCGAUAUUAACACAGGAAUAAGCUCCGGCUAACUCCGUGCCAGCAGCCGCGGUAACACGGGGGGAACAAGCGUUGUCCGGAAUUACUAGGCGUAAAGGGUAAGUAGGCGGAAUUGUAAGUCAGAUGUUAAAGGCACCGGCUCAACCGGUGUAUGGCAUUUGAUACUGUAAUUCUAGAGUAAGGUGGGGGAAGACGGAAUUCCUGGUGUAGCGGUGGAAUGCGCAGAUAUCAGGAGGAACACCAGAGGCGCAGGCGGUCUUCUAUACCAUUACUGACGCUCAAUUACGAAGGUGUGGGUAUCAAACAGGAUUAGAUACCCGGGUAGUC
rnacentral:rRNA from 1 species